UACGUAGGGUGCGAGCGUUAAUCGGAAUUACUGGGCGUAAAGUGUGCGCAGGCGGUUGAGCAAGUCGAGUGUGAAAGCCCCGGGCUUAACUUGGGAAUUGCGCUCGAAACUACUUGACUGGAGUGUGGCAGAGGAAGGUGGAAUUCCACGUGUAGCGGUGAAAUGCGUAGAUAUCGUAAGGAAGACCAGUGGCGAAGGCGGGUCUCUGGACAGUUCCUGACGCUGAGGCACGAAGGCCAGGGGAGCAAACGGG
rnacentral:rRNA from 1 species